UAUAGGAUUUGAUUUCUUUCUAUUAUUUUAUUUGUUUAUAUUUAUAUAUAUGUAAUAAUACGUAGAUACUCUCAUUAUUCCUGUUCUUAAAAUAAAAUUUGACAUACAAGCACUCAAUUUUAUCUAUUUCUUAAUUUCCCCAUGAAUUGUAUGUUUAUAACAAUAGGGACAGAAUUUUCUCAAUUCCAAUCGACUAGGAGUGUUAUGCCGAUUCUUUUGAGUAAUAUAUCUGGAAAUUCCAGCCGAUUCUUUCUUAAUAUCAUUUCGAACACAACUGGUACAUUCCAAAAUAAUUGUUACUCGAACAUCUUUACCUUUGGCCAUGAAACCUCCUUUGGAUUUAUGAUUCACCCCCAAUCUUCUAUUUUAAUUUUAGGGUCCAUAAAGAACAAGAACAAAAAAAAUAGAAGCUGUUAAUUAACUCAAAAAAAUGUCUUAAAUAUUUCGUUGCAAUGAAUAUUAAUUAGUAAUUAAAUAAAAAGAAAAUAAUAAGUAAUAUAAUGAUUUUUUGAAAACUAUAUUUCAAAUCUUUGUACAGUAUUUUUUUUAAGUAUCUCGUAGGAUACUCUUUCCAGGAAAUGUUUUAUUGAACUUUUAUGUGUGUUUUUACGUUGGUUUUGUUUUUUUUUUUGUUUUGCUUCUGAUGCCUUUGAAUUUUUCUUGUCAGUGUUUUUCACGAGAUUGGAGUCAAUAAUUUUAAUACUGAAUCAUCCAAAAAUCAAUAGUGAAUCCUUCUAAAAUCUGGCAUAGUUGAAUUGAUAAAUCAAAAAUAUAUAUUUUUAAAUCUUAUCUAUUUUAAAACCCAUUGGUAUUGAUUACAAGAAAGAACUACAAAUCAUUAAUGAAUCACUCUAAAUAUCACACAUUUAAAAUCUGUUGGAGUUGAGUUUAACUUCUACAACGAAUAACACCACCUACAAUUUUAAGGGCAUUAUUGUCAUUUUGAAAAUAAUUAGUCUAAUGAGAUAUAAAGUAUAUGAGAUUAGUCUAAAGGGACAUAGUUAUUAUUGUAUUGCUCUAAAAAACAAUUUUCCCUGAAAAAAUUAACUCUUUCUUUUUUUUGAAAUUUUAGUCUUCGUUUUUCCUACGUCAACAAAUCAUUCCUUGUUUCGGGAUUAAAAACUGUAGUCAUGUCAUAUCUAUACUAUUAUUUAAGAAAUGAAUUUGCUUAUUUGUCAUCUUUUCCAUAAUUUUAGUGAAUUUUCUUGUUUGUCAUAUUUUUCAUGAUUUUAGGAUAAAUCAUUAGUUUAAUUAAUAUUAUUAUUUAAAUUUUUUUAGCAAAAAAAAAUAUUAUUAUUUAAAUUUUAUGUUAAAAUAAAUAUAGAGAAAUUUCCUACGAUAACUUCUUUUAAUUUUUUGUCACAAAAAUAGCAUUCAAUGAAGAAAAUGACCAAAAAAAGUUUUAUUAAAGAGUAAAAAUGUAUUUUUACCCUAAGGUUAACUAAUCUAGACUUAGGGUUUAGAGUUAAGGGGUGGAGUUUUGGGGAUAGGGUUUCAAAUUUUAAAAAAUAAAAUAAAUAUUAAUAAAUUUUAAAAUAAAAAGAGGCUAUUUUGGUCAAUUUCUUUUUUGGGGGCUAUUUUUUUGACAAAAACUUAAAAAUGGCUAUUUGAGAUAAUUGCCCAUAAAUAUAUAUAUAUAUAUAUAUAUCAUGAUAUUUAAGAUAAACAUUAACUUAUUCUACUGAUAUAUAUAUAUAUAUAUACUAUUAUUUUUAAAAAUUAUUUUAAUAUAGAGUUAUCAUCAUAUUUAGAACAUUUAAUUAGUAAAUAAAUAUUAACAAUAUCUACUGAUAAUAUCAUAAUUACGUUUAUCUUAUAUUUGGUUUAUGAUCUAAUGACUAAUAUUAUAACAAGUUCUCUAAUUCAUAUUGAAAAUAUUGAUCCAAAUACAAAUUAUUAUAAAAAUUAUAUACAAGUAUACUAACAUAUUUUAAUUAAUCAGUUUUUCUUCGGUUUAUUCGGUCGGAUCAGUUAAUAUAUUGAACCAUAUCUAUAUACUUUGAGUUUUUUAAAAUAACACCCAUUUGGUGUAUUCGAUACUACCAAAUCCAAACUGUUUUUUAAUUAAGAUUCGUUACGGCUUUAAUGGUUCGAUUUUACCGGAUUGAAUACUCCUACGCUAUCGUUAUUUUGUUGUUGACGUUUUGUGGGUUGUAAUUGUUUAUAAUUUAUUUCAAUGCCACUUGAUUUUUUCAGUCUAAAUACAAUAAAUGUUUAAUCUCAAAUCCAGGUUUUCUAAUUUGAUUAUUACUAUAGAAAAUAUUUUGAUCCAAAAUUCACAUCCCAUAAAUAAAUUAUGAAAAAAUACAUAAUUUAAUAUAUUGAUUAUCAAUAUAAAUUAUUGAAGUUUUAUUUUUAUAUUAUUAAUUUAAAAUUGUGUCUAAUUUAAUAAUUUUAAUAAAAAGAACACUAGCAUUAAAAAUUGUUAAGUGUAUAUAUAUAGUCCGUACAAGGUGCGUGACAUCAACUAGUUAAAUAUUUUUAGGAAAGAGUAAAAUUCCCUAAAAAUAUAAAGAAAUAAAGUUGUUCACGUACACUUUCACUACCAUUCAUCUUUUAACCCAGUAUAUGCGCACUGCAAUGAUUAAAACAAAUUGAAGUAAUGAUAAAUCGUAGCCAUAAUUGGCUGUCUGAUAACUAAUAAUUUAGAUUAGAAGCAAUGGAAUAAUCGAUCAUUAGCUAAUACUUGGGGUGACAUGCUCCACUUUGUCUAAACAAUGCUGGCAAUGUAGUAUUUAGGGCAUCUUUGCCUUUUCUCCCACUUUUGUUGUUCGUAUCAUUGAUGUUCCGCAAUAUACACCCGUCUAUUCAUCUAUCUCGCCUAAUUGAAGUUUUUAGAAUGCAUGCAUGCAUAACUAUGCUAUUAAGUUGACCCCAAAAAAAACUAUGCUAUUACAAUUUGUAUUUAUGUAUGCUAUUUUUUUCUAUUGUAUAUUGCAUGCAGCAUGUCCAGCUAUAGUACGCGGCCAUACAUGCCACCAGACCACCACUUAACAAAAGAUAUGAUUAACUUACUGAGUACUGACUUUAAUCUAGACGCAUAUGACAAAAUUUUUGAUACGCCAUUAUCUUUACAUAAGCGUAUUUUAUUUCUGUUCUCACGUACUGUAAUAUUGUUUAGCUCAAUAAAGUAGCUUUGCCCUUGUAUUUGUCUAGUUUACAGGAAUUAUAGGUUACAGUAGUCUAGAAAUUCGAUACUUAUUAACUAAUGUUAAGAUCCUUAAUGACAACCAACGGCUGAAGCAUAUAACUCGCCUUUGAAUUUCUUUUGAUUAAGAAAUAAAAGUAAACCAAUCCAAUGAAGAACACACAAGUCUCAAUGGUUUUGUUACAUAAUUUCUUUAACUAAUACUUGUUCCCUUCUUUAACGAUAGAAUUUUUAGAAAAAGAAAGUUUAUUUCAAAAAGAUGUAUUUUUUGUGUUUUCUAUGAAAAAAUUGUAAACUUUAAUAAAACUAAUUGACUUUAUGAAUUACUAUUGAUUAAAAGUUAUUGAAAACUGAAAAUUACAGAAAACGAUAUAUUUAUUAUUGUAAUUUAAUGUGUUUUUUUAAUAUGUGUGAAAAUACUAAAAAAUUUAUUUUUGUGAAAUGGAAGGAGUAAAAGAUAAAUAAAUAAUAAAUAGGUAGAUGGAGAGAUUCUAAUUUUGGUCGAGAAUUUUGUAUAAUGCCAACUUGAUGCUGCCCAAGUUCCCAACCGUGCAUGUGCACUUCACCCGCAGGAUAUAUGCUGUUUCCAGAUCUUUAUUUUAAAAUACAUAGCUAAUAGAAAACGGAACUUUGUUGAAUUGGUAUUUGAUUUGGAUUUGAUAACUGUCAAAAACAAAAUAACUUCGGACGAUUUGAUAAUGAAAAAAUACUUCGGACGAUAAACGACAAUGUUUUUUUUGGUGAACACCACAUCUUUACAACAUUUCGUAUUGCUGCCAUAUUUAAUGCAGUCAAGAUCAAGAAAACGAGAUAUUUACAACUGUAAGAGACGUUGAAUAAUAGUAUGUGAUAGUUAAAAGCUUGGUAUUUUUGGUAGUUUCAGUGGUCGUGUUAAAGAAUUUAGGGGUUAUUUGUGAAAAAAAAAAGAAAUUAGUUUCGUAGAGAAAAAAUAGAGAAAGAUAGAAAGAAAAAAAAAGAGAGAGAGAGAGUGUGUGAAAUUGGUCAGUUAGUUAAUUUUAGAUUUUUGUUUGGUUGUUGGAUGCAAAUUCUUAAGAAAUUAACUCUGAAGUUACUUGAAGUUAUUCUUGGAUUCACCCCAUAUGAUGAAUUUCUAGGUUCACCAACCAAUAGAAUUCUGUUAUUUUACAUUCGAUAUUUUUCAUAAAAGAAAACAAAAUAUUGUCUAGUAAUAUUAUAUUUCUAAAAUAAAAAAGUAAAAAAAUAAUAAUAGUAGUUACAAAAAUAAGAUUUUUUUAAAAGAGUUAUUUUUAACGUCAUCAGCAAAACACUAAACCCUAAAUCUUAAAUUCUAAACCCUAAAUCUUUGGGUAAACUUUAAACCUUUGGAUAAAACAUAAACUCUAAAUCAAAAAUACUAAACACUAAAACACUAAACCCUAAAUCCUAAAUCCUAAACCCUUGAGUGUUUUAGUGUUUAGUGUUUUUGAUUAGAGUUUAUGAUUUAUCCAAGAGUUUAGGGUUUACCCAAAAGUUUAGGGAUUGUCCAAGGAUUUAGAAAUUAGAAUUUAGGGUUUAAUGUUUUGCAGACGACGUUAAAAUACGACGUUUUAACUACUACUAUUUUUUAUUUAUUUUUUAUCUUUUUAUUUUAAAAAUAUACUAUAAUUUGAUAAUAUUUUGAUUUUUUUUAAAGAUAUCGAAUAUGAAAUAACAAAAUAUUAUUGGUCGAUAAACCUAGAACCCAAAUCAAGUUAGUUACUAGUAAUCCCAUAUAUAUUAAUUGAGGAACAAUUGAAAAGAUGUAACUUCAAUUUUGUAAUAAUUAAAAAAGAUUUCUUGCUUAUGUGUCAAUCAAUUAGGUAGUUAAUUAGUCAUACGUGUGAGCCUCACGUUGAAAUUGAAAAACAUGUUGGUCCAAUUCGAUUUUUAUAUCUCAUUAGAAACAUUUAAUACCAACUAUAUGUUAUCGUAUGAUAUUAACUAAAUCAAGGUGGCUAUUUAUUAUAUAUUAUUUCCUUAAAUAAAACCUAAAGAAUUAACUAAUGUGAUUAUGAUAUAUAUAGUAAUUAAUGAUUUUAAAUAAUGAAGAUUUGCUAAUAAUAUGUAUGUUUUCUAUCAUUUUUGUUUAAUUCUUUACUAUUAAAAUAAAUUACACAAUUACAUUAAUCAUAUAUUAAAAAUUUAGAUUUUUUGUAUAUGUUGUAUUUUGAAUUUUUCAAAACGAGUAUAAAUUACUAAAACUGUUAAAAGUCUCACAUAAACUUUUGUGAUCAAUGUUUAAAUUUUUUUCUAUAAUAAUAUACAAUGAUAAUAAAAUCAUAUAAAUAAAUAAUUUUAUUUUCAUAGGUGUUUAUGUUAAUAUAUAUAUACUUCAUAUCGUUUAAAUUUAAGUAUAUAUCAUAUACGAUAAAUAAGAUUGAUUAUUUUGAUUUAUUUAUUCUAAAAUGAUUGCGAAUAAACAAGAGCGGUCAUUUGAUUUAUAUGUGCAAGCCAAUUUAUUACAUAAUAGUAAUUGAUUUCUUAGUUAUUUAAUAUAUAAUUAUUAUUUUAUUAUUUCAUAAUAUGCAGAAAAAUAUUAAAUAAGUAUUUAUUCUGCACAAGACGCAGAUCUUAACCUAAGUAUCUAUCUCUUUAAUAAUUUGAAUCUUAAACAUUUUCUAAAUCAGGAAGAAAAGAGAUACCUUCACUGCUGUAGUCGAUAAGAUACGACAAAGAGCCAUCAGCUGGUCCACUAGACAGCUAUCAGCUGCCGGAAAGCUCACCCUUCUCAAAAGUGUCUUCACUUCUAUCCCCAACCACUACAUGAGCUGCUUACCCUUCUCAAAAGUGUCCUCACUUCUAUCUCCAACCACUACAUGAGCUGCUUCAAACUCCAUGUCUCCCUCUGCAAGCGCAUCCAAUCAGCCUUAACCCGCUUCUGGUGGGAUGCAAAACCUGAUGAGAGAAACAUGUCUUGGGUCUCAUGGAAAACAAUGAUAAAAGCUAAAGAGGAUGGAAGCCUUGGGUUUAGAGACAUACAGUGCUUCAAUGACGCGAUGCUAGCAAAACUCAGCUGGAAAUUGCUAGUCUCUCCAGAUUGCCUACUUGCACGAGUGCUGCGAGGGAAAUACUUCCCAGAAGCAGUUCCUCCACGUAUCAACUCCUUCCAACUGCUCUCACGGCUGGAGAGGAAUCCUAGUUGGGAGAGACCUUAUCAAAAACCAUGUAGGAUGGGCUAUAGGGAAUGGCGAAGAAGUUAAUGUUUGGAACGAACCUUGGCUCUCUACUUCGACUUGGGAAUCCCCUAUUGGCCCACCCACAAGAGAUACAUAGUUCAUUAAAGUAGCUUCCCUUUUUCUCCCUAAUGAUAAGGAUUGGGACUCAGGUAAAGUUCAGCGCCUCCUCCCUCACCUACACGAUAAGAUCCUCAGCAUCAAAACAAGCAAACAGGGCGGCAAAGAUAAGAGAAUUUGGCUCAAGAAAAGCUCAGGAAUCUAUUCUACCAAGACUGGCUACUAACGCUGGAGCUAAAGAGACAACAAGAAGGUUUCCCAACCAUUACAAAUCGUACCUGGCUUAGUGAUGUCUGGAAGCUCACCAUCCCACCGAAAAUCAAAAUGUUUACGUGGAAACUGAAGCACGAGGCGGUCCCUGUGAAUGCAAGGCUUCAUGCCAGACAAAUCAUCCCCUCCCCAAAGUGCACCUUAUGUGAGGAAGAUGAAACGAUUUUGCACCUCUUCUUCCAAUGCCCGUUCGCAAAACAGGUAUGGAACGAUUGUCCUUUCUCAUCAAAUCCCCUGAAUGCUGCCAUAUAAAGUAUCAACGCAGGGCUCCAGGUGGUCAUGAAGGCUACACUGCUCCCUCCCUCAGGCGUCUCCUCGACUCAGCUAGGAGCUUGGAUCAUCUGGAACAUCUGGAUAUCCAGAAAUCAGAAGAUCUUCCAGACUAGAACCUUCUCCCCCCAAGAGACAACCCUGAAAGCUCUGAUUAAUGCGAAAGAAUGGCAGGACGCUCAGAUAUCUGAGGUCAUCAGUAAGAAGCACUAUCCUCCCCCACAGAUUGUUGCCCCAAUCGAUGCGAUCAUAUGUAGAUCUGAUGCGGCCUGCAGAACAGGAACCCCAAUCGCCGGUGUCGCGUGGAGCUUCUACCACGCAAAUGGAGAGAUUAUCACAUCUCACAGCAAAUCAAUCUCCUUUGUGAUUUCGUCCCUUGUGGCUGAGGGACUAGCAUUGCGAGAAGCCAUGGAACAUGCAUGGUCACUAGGAUUGACGAACAUGAUCUUUGAAUCUGAUUCCAAACAGCUGGUGUCAGCAGUUGAAGGCGAAUCGAACUUCUCUGAUCUCCAUGGAAUCGUCUCCGACAUUAUCUCUCUAGCAAACUCUUUUGAUUCUGUUUCUUUCAAAUUUCGUAACUGCAGUAACUUUGCUCUAGAGGACAGUCUCGCAAAGCAAGUUCUCGGUUUAGUUGUACCAACCACAUUUAAUUAACUUUAAUGAAGCGCUCCCUUGACAAAAAAAAAACAUUUUCUAAAUCUCAGGCCAGAAUAAAAGAAAGAAAUGAGAAUAAAUUCAAAAAUCAAUAUUUAUAUCGAGCAAUAACUAAAAUGACACAAAAAGGAGAAAAAUAUCGAAGAUAGAUAGGAUUGACACCUGAACGUAAACUUCUCAUAACUAUAAUUAACUUUUAAAUUGCUAAAUCAUGAUAUAAAACCGAGAUGACAUAGUUUCAUUGUAACCAAAUAGUAAGCAUGAGAUUCUUCGGCUUAAACGUUAGACUUUUAUGCGAUAAAUAAUUUUUUGACCUAAAAUAUUUUUAAAAAUGAGAUCAGUUCAUUAGUAAAUAAAUUAUGUAAUUAAUAAAAAAAAUUUAAAAAAAUUGAUUAAGAACCAGAUAUAUUAAUUCGAUUAAUAAUAUAAAUUUUUUUUCCAUACGAUAUUUAUUAAAUAAUCUUCAUAUAAAUUUAGUCUUAUACUAGUAAUCGUGUAAAGCUCAGAGCAAAAUAACAAAACGUGUGAGCUCUCCCAUGCCCACAAAGAAACAAGCUUGGCUUUUGUCAUGUCACAAGGCGGGACCCACAUUGAUCCCCCAAUUUACUCGUCAGCCAAUUUUGACUCUUGCGGUCACGCGUACACAGCAGUAACCUCUUCGCCCUUUCUAUAUGCCUCGGAGUUAUUAAAAAGACUGUGGACUUGAUCCACCGGCUCGGCUCAUUUCAUUCCCGCUCAGCUAAAUUGCAUUCAUCCGGUAAACUAUCUAUUAUUUAUUCGAAAUGUUACAUUUGAUCACUGUUAGAUGUAUAUUUAUAUUUAUGUCCAUAGCAGGCCUUGAGAUUUUUAAAAGAGGAAGAAUUGUAAGUGAUUUAGUUAAAAUUUUAAUUAAUUUUUUCCCUUACAAAUUUAAGGAUAUACAUCUGUAUAUAUUUUUUUCAAAAAAAUUAGAAGCUUAAUAGCAUUUCCAACAAUAACACCAAAUUUAAUGUUAAAAUUACACCAAAUUUGGUGUUUUGGUGUUAUAAUUAUUCCGCUAUCUCCAACAAUGAUACCUUUACACCAAAAGUAAAACUAUAUUAGCCUUUGAUCCGCGCACGCGCAAAUGUUUAUUUUCGUAAUUAUAUGUUUUUCAUUUUUAAAUGAUUUACAUAAACAUAAUUGUUUAUGUUUUUAUUAUGGAUUCAUAUAUUAUUGAGUUUGACAUAUUUGUUUCUUGUUCAAUGUGUUUAGGGUCCAUUAAUAAACCAUGAGAUAUGUGUUUUUCUUUUAUUGUUCUUUUCUUCAUUUUUACUUGGUAAAAUUAAACAUUAAAAUGUAAAAUAUUAGAGUUUUAAGUAUACUUGUCGGUUUUAUGAAAUUAAACUAUAAAUAAUGGGCUUUAAAAUUGAAUAUAAAGUUCUUAUAUUGAUAUUUUUUUAGAACAGAGACAUUAUUUAGACAAAAACAUAAAAAAAAUAAUGAAAGCAAGUUAGGAAAAAAUCAAAUAAGCACAGAUUUUUGCAAAUUUUAUUUAGCAAGCCUAAUUUAAGUUACUGAAUUAGGAUAUUUUGUUAUCACUAAAAAAUUGGUACGUCAUAUUUUACAAUUACAUAGUGGAUCGUCUAUAGUAGACAUCAAGAACUUCUUCGAAGCUCAUAUAGUUUUUUCAAAAAAAAAGAACAAAAAUAUAUUUGGCUUCUAGCGACUUUUCUCAUUCUCUUAGAAGAAAACAUUCUAAAAAGGCAUUUUCUGGUAUAGCUGGUUGCCCAUUUCAAUAGCUAGCCGGACAUUUUCAUAAACUAUGAUAUUGUGUGUGUGUUUUUUUUUUUGCUUUUAUUCAUUUUACUUGGUAAAGUAAACAUUAAAAUGUAAAAUAUUAAAGUUGUAAGUAUACUUGUGGAUUUUAUGAAAUUAAACUAUAAAUAUUGGGAUUUAUUGUACUUCUUCUGGGAUUUAAAGUUGAUCCUUUAUUUUUAGUAUUGUGAUAUGCUAUAUCAUUUUUUACGUGCAAUUAAGUAUUUUAAAUAAUAUUUUCUUAUUAUUAUUUAACUUAUAUUGUUAAAACAUAACUUUAAAAAAUAUUUUUUAAAAAUAUACAUAUAUAUCAAAAUAGGUUACCAAUUUAAACCGGUACAUCAAAAUAAACCAAAAUAAACUUUUUUAAGAAAAAAAUAUAAAACUAAAACUUACGCCGUCUCUAUCUUCUCUCCUUCUCCGCCUCUCUUCUUCUUGUUCGGCUCCACCUCACUGUCCUGUUACACUCGCACCAUCGCCACCAUGAAACAAACUAAUAUUGCUUUCCAUGUUGAAUCAAUCUAUAUUAAUCUCUUCGAAACUAAUCUAUAACAACACUUGUAAAACAAAUCGCAAAAGGAACCACAUUCAGACUUAACGAAAAUCAGAAUCGAGAGAAUGAAAUGUUAAACUUCAAGCACCCAUUAGGAACUCUAUACAUCAAACGAAGACACGACUUCACGGGAGAGAAGGAGACUAACCUUUAACCAUGUGAAAUGAUUGACUUUCGCAAGCUUAAAAAUUUAACCGUGUCUCAUAUGAAAUCAGGGAUUCUUCAAACAACUCAUAAUAAAUUUUCCAGAGCAAGUGCGAAUUGCAUAAAGAUCGCAAGACCAAACCGCCAGGAUCUAUAUGGUAGACCGUAGAUUUAAUUAUUGGGCUUUUUGCAAAUAUGACUCAAUACUUGAAGUGAAACACAAAAUUAACCCAUGUUUUUCUGGAACUUUGACUUUUCUUUUUCACUCCCAAAGUUCAGAUUAUUCACGAAAAUGCCAUCACUUUUUUUUUUUGAAAAUGCAUAUUUUACUCAAUCACCCUUAUUUUCCUCAAGUAUUCACAAUAUUGUCAUUGACAUUAAUACACCAACCACCGUGAACAACCAAUUUAAAGCUCUUAAUACACCUAAAAAUCGAUUUAUACUCUUUCUUUCUCAAUUCUUAUAAACCAAAAAUAACAUCUCUUUACUUUCUCUCCAUAUUCAUCCAAAAAAAACCCAAGAUUUUGAUUCUAAAAAUUUUAUGGUUCAUAGAGCAAUUGAAACUUAUGAUUCUUGGUGGGUAACGUUUGUUUGAGAUUUUGGGUGCUUGGAGAAGACUUUUGUGUGCUAAACAAGUUAUCUCACUGGUUGAAACUAUGAAAUUAGUUUUUUUCCAGAUAUGUUCAUCCAGACGACUUCCGGGUAAGUCGAAGUCGUCUGGCUGUAGACGACUUACAUGGAAGUCUUUUAGUCAAUGCAGAGGUGUUAUACCUAGACGACUUCCAUGUAAGUCGUCUCAGGUUAGUUUUACAAUUGAAAAAUAAAACAAAAAAAAUUAUUUUUGUCCAGCCGACUUACACGGAAGUCGUCCAUCAGACGACUUCCACAAAAGUCGUCCAUCAGACGACUUCCACGAAAGUCGUCCAUGAUUUUAUUCUGAGAUUCUGGUUAAACCUUGCUUAUCUUGGAUGACUUCCAUGUAAGUUGUUGGACGGACGACUUCCGUGUAAGUCGUAUAGAAAAAAAUAAAUUUUUUUGUUCUAUUUUUCAAUUGCAAAACUAACCUGAGACGACUUACAUGGAAGUCGUCUAGGUAUAAUAAAAUAUUGAUUUUUUAAUUUUCUACUGGACGACUUACAUGGAAAAGUCAAAUUUCUGACACAAUCCGGUCAAAUGCAAAACUAACUCAUUUUCCCUAGAUGACUUACAUGGAAGUCGUCUCGAUUUUUUUUUAACAUACAAAGAAGGACAACUUCCAUGUAAGUCGUCUAGGUUAAUAAUCAAUUGCAAAACUAACAUAAAUGGACGACUUCACCAAACGACCUCCGUGGAAGUCGUCUGCGUCAAUGUUUAAUAAACUUUCAUUUUCUCUAAAAAUAUAAAGACUUUUUAAUUUUAUUUUGUUAAUUCAUGUAUAUUAGUCAAUAUUGGGACCACUGUAUGAAAUUUAUAACUUAAUUGGUGAUAUUUAUAAGGUUACCAACAUUCAUGCUUAGUAAAAGUUUCUAGCUAAUUGAGAAGUCUUCUACGUUAGUUUUUGUAAAUUUGUUAAGUAACUUUAAGAUAUUUUUAUUUAAUUUUUAAAAGUGUUAAUUAACUUCAAGAAUAUCAAGUAACAUGGUUUAAUGUGUCUUCUCAGAUCAUAAGAUAUAUUUUUUACUUAUGUAUCUAAUGAAAGUGUUCUAGCUUUGAACUUAUGUAAUGUUUUAUCAUUUGUGAAUUUGACUAAGUUUUCUUGAAAUUUUUUCUCCCUUAUUUGUAAUAAAUUUGAUUAAUUUUUUGUAUUAUUGUGUUUUGCUAUUGAAGUUGUAUCAAUAAUUUCAAUUAUGUCAAUUAAAUUUGGCAAGAUAAUGUCAUGGAAAAUGAACAUAUUUACAAAACGUUUUCAUUAAUAUCUCCUUUAAUGAAAGUGUUCUAGCUUUGAACUUAUGUAAUGUUUUAUCAUUUGUGAAUUUGACUAAGUUUUCUUGAAAUUUUUUCUCCCUUAUUUGUAAUAAAUUUGAUUAAUUUUUUGUAUUAUUGUGUUUUGCUAUUGAAGUUGUAUCAAUAAUUUCAAUUAUGUCAAUUAAAUUUGGCAAGAUAAUGUCAUGGAAAAUGAACAUAUUUACAAAACGUUUUCAUUAAUAUCUCCUUAAAUUUACAAAAAGUCACAACUAAAGGAGUACACAUGCAAAUCACAAAACAUACCACAAACAAAACUAUUAUAGAUCAUUCCUCUACAAAGACAAGCUUAGACUCCACUUGAUAUGGAAGAAGACGACGUCAGAAAACUUCCUGGAAGACUUCCUGGAAGUCGUCUGGAAGACUUCUUUGAAGUCGUCUGGAAGACUUCCUGGAAGUCUUCUAGCGCAUUAUAUUUUAGAAGACUUCCGAGAACACUUCCCAUAAGUCUUCCAAAGUCUGAUCCAGAUCUGAAAAACAUGUAUAUCAAAUCCAGAUCUGUAAAACCUGCAUAUCAUAUAAAAAACGUUCAAAUAGCUUAAAACAGAGAAAAUGAGUGGAAAAUUAGAUAGACAUACUUUUAUAGAACACACAAAGUACAUAUCCAAGUGGAAGAUGAAACAAUCUGAUUAAAACCUGCAACAAAAAGAUAGAUUAGUGAGAAAGACAUGAGACAAAAAUGAAAAAUUCAUAGUGUUUUCAAGUCAAAGAGAUUAGAGUGGGUUUGAAGAGUUUUAGUUUGGGAAAAAAGUAUGAAUUUUAUGCAACAUGACGUUACCAAAUGAAGAAAAAUCAACAUAAGAACUUACCAAAACGAUGAGAUCUAUUAUGAAAAGGAGACAUGGGAGUCUUCUAGCUCAGAAGUCUUCCAGAUCUGAAAAACCUGCAUAUCCAAAUCCAGAUUUGAAUAACCUGCAUCUCCAAAAACGUUCAAAUGACUUAAAAACAGAGAAAAUGAGUGGAAUAUUAGAUAUAUCUACCUUUAUAGAAAACACAAAAA
rnacentral:lncRNA from 1 species